rnacentral:lncRNA from 1 species
AGAACCCACCCUUAGGUAUUAUUAUAGGUGACACAUCUUUAAGCACAUUUUAAUUUUGCUGUUUUGAAAAAAAAAAAACCUUAAAGGUAAUAUUCUUCGUUCCAUUUCUCCAACUUGAGUUUUUAAGAUAUACAACUCAGAACAGAAUUUGAACACCAUUCAAACACAAAGUUGUAUCCCUAAGACCACAAUACAUAUGCCUGAAGCAUCAAUUUUCUUAGAAUAAAAAAGUCUUUUAAGGGCUGGGGACACAGACGGGACUGGGGGAUGUAACUCAGUUGAUAAAUGCCUGACUGGGGAAUGUAACUCAGCUGAUAAAUGCCUGACUGGCAUGCACAACCCUGGGUUCAAACCCCAGCACUACAUAAACUGGGUAUAAUGGCCUGUGCCUUCAAUCUGGGUAGGGGUAGGUAAAAUGAUCAGAAAUUAAAGGACAUCAUCAGCUACAUAGUAAGUUUUAAACUUGGUUUGGGCUACAUGAGACCUUAUCAAAGAAAGAAAAAGAAGACAUUUUCUAAUUAUGAGGAAACAACUUUGGGUCAUAGCUUAUAUUUUAAAAUAAAAACAUAUUACAUGCUGGUUAGGCGCUAACCAUUAUUAAGAUUCUUGGGGCACUAGCAAUGAAUAAGAUAGACAUGCCUUCUCAGAACACAUUCUAACAAAGCUGCCAUCAUAAUGAAGUUAUUUAUAAACAUGAAGCCUACCAUAGAGAAAUAGAGGUCACUGUCCGAAGGAUUGUGUGGGAAAGUUUGAGACACACCAUAUCUCUUUUUUAAAUUCUCUCAUAUAUUACAUCCUGACCACAGUUUCCUCCCCCUCUUCUCCUCCUAGUCCCUCCCUUCCACCUCCCCAUCCACACCUCCUGUUUCAUCUCAGAAAAGGGUAAGCUUUAUAGGGUGUAUGAUAUCAACUAAACAUGGCAAAUCAAGUUAUAAUAAGAUUAGGUACCUCCCCUUAUAGUAAGACUGGAUAUGUCAACCCAGUAGGAGAAAAAGGGACCCCAAAGCAGACAAAAGAGUCAUGGACAGCCCCCAUUCCCACUGUUGGGAGUCCCACAAGAGAGAGACACACUGUAUCUUAAACUCAGCGAUGAGAUACUAUCUUGAGACAAAAACAGUAACACUAUUCAUUGACAUACAACCUCAAACAUCCUGUUUCUGAAGCCCCAGCCAGAAAGCAGGGUUACUACUGGACUGAGCCAAACAAUUUUGGGGUAAUCAUAAUUCUGAUUAAUCCUCUUAAGAGUCUUUAUGUAAUACCUGUCAGAACAUGUAAAUACCAUGACAUCAUUAAAAAGAUGGAGAAAAUCAAUUGUAAAGAAAAUUAAUAAAUCAGUUAUCUAAAAAGC